ACAGACACAGAGAAUUCGCCUCUGAAAACGAUUUUUCUAAAAACUCCGGCCAGAGUGUAGAUUUUGGAAAUCUUUGUUUCUUCGCAUGUAAACUGAGACAAACGGAGGUUUAAGCAGCCGAGGAAGAGAAGAGCGAGGAAGUGAUU